UACGUAGGGUCCGAGCGUUGUCCGGAUUUAUUGGGCGUAAAGAGCUCGUAGGCGGUUCUGUAAGUCAGAUGUGAAAACUCAGGGCUCAACCCGGAGACGCCAUCUGAUACUGCGGUGACUGGAGUCUGGUAGGGGAACACGGAAUUCCUGGUGUAGCGGUGAAAUGCGCAGAUAUCGGGAGGAACACCUAUUGCGAAGGCAGCUCGCUGGGACGUAACUGACGCUGAGACGCGAAAGCGUGGGGAGCAAACAGG
rnacentral:rRNA from 1 species